rnacentral:piRNA from 1 species
UCCUCUUGCUGUGUGUCUUAUGUGCUUU